AAACCGAGCUUCCCUAUUUUGGCUACGAC
rnacentral:sRNA from 1 species